CGUACUGAGCGUGUCCCUGUUCUGCCAGCUGCUGCAGAGACCCCAGGCUACAGAAUAACAACAUCCACGUUUUGCCCCAAAUCAUCCCGUCCUCCCACGGGGAAGGAAAUGGCUUCAAUGGAGCUGGCUCAGGGGCCGGUGACCUUCGAGGACGUGACUGUGUAUUUCACCAGGGAGGAAUGGGCU